ensembl:lncRNA
UAUGGAGCAGGUGUUGUCUAUUCUAUAUGAGUCCUUUUGGAGCAGGUGUUGUCUAUUCUAUUUGAGUCCUUAUGGAGCAGGUGUGUUUCUUAGAGCGUUGUUAUGUUCCUUUUCUAACGGUCCACAUGUUUUCUAUCUAUUGUCACUUUCAAAAUUGAAUGUAUUUACAUGUUUUCUGUCUGGACAUGAUGAGGACAUUUUGUCAAUAAAAAGAACAAGUAAACAACCCAACAUGUGUGUUUUUUUCUGUUAUUAUUGAUAAGACUUCACAGUCACUAAAUGUUUUUAAAUGGCCCAAAAAUAAGAAACUCUUAGAACACGGAAACCGCAGAAUAAGAAACUCUUAGAACAAAGAGAACCCAGAAUAAGAAACUCUUAGAACACAGAAACCGCAGAAUAAGAAACUCUUAGAACAAAGAGAACCCAGAAUAAGAAACUCUUAGAACAAAGAGAACCCAGAAUAAGAAACUCUUAGAACACAGAACCCGCAGAAUAAGAAACUCUUAGAACAAAGAGAACCCAGAAUAAGAAACUCUUCGAACACAGAACCCGCAGAAUAAGAAACUCUUAGAACACAGAAACCGCAGAAAAAUAAACUCUUAGAACAAAGAGAACCCAGAAUAAGAAACUCUUAGAACAAAGAGAACCCAGAAUAAGAAACUCUUAGAACAAAGAGAACCCAGAAUAAGAAACUCUUAGAACACAUAAACCGCAGAAUAAUAACUUUUUGAAAAACGUUCUUUAUUGCUCUGAUCCAGGCUGGUUAGCAACGGUCGGUGCAAUCCGGGAUCCUUGGGACAUCCCAACUCUGAUUUUAUCUCAUUGACGUUGAAAUUUUAAAAGGGUGAGGUAAGGGUUGUGGUUAGGUUGUGAGUGAGCUGUAUUACAGAAUCUCCCGUUGUGAAACACUGUCUAAGAAUGGAUCUUCCUCAACUAGGACUGAACUGCAGUACAAACUCUAGCCUAUGGACUAGUAUAUUAAAUGAACUGCUGUACAGACUCUAGUCUAUGACCAUAGUUCUUAUUCCAUGCUUUCUUCGUAUCAUUUUCUCACUCGCAAUAAAGCAGAAACAACUUAACGUGGCACUGUUUACAGCCGACUCUAGAAUUCUCAGCUGAGCCACGCCAAUAACCUAAGAUGGUGUCUACGUCCCAAAUGGCAUCUUAUUCUCUAUAUAGUGCACAACUUUCGACCAGAGCCCUAUGGAACCCUAUUCCCUAUAUAGUGCACUACUUUAGACCAGGACCCUAUUCCUUAUAUAGUGCACUACUAUAGACCAGAGCCCUAUUCCCUAUAUAGUGCACUACUAUAGACCAGAGCCCUAUUCCCUAUAUAGUGUACUACUUUAGACCAGGGCCAUGUAGUGCACUCUAUAGGGAACAGGGUGCCAUUCAAGGUAUUUGAAUGCCUCUGUUAUUUUCAUAUUACAAAACGUUUUUCUGACUUGUUUCCUUUAAGGCCUACCUUUCAGGUGAGAUGAUAUCAGCUAUUCAUUCGUUCUCCAUCGAGCUGCUAAAACAGCACUUACACUAUGGAGACAUUAGACGUGAAGAGACAGUCCUGUCUGUCCAGAGGUCUACAGACUGUCCUCCUGGAGACAGUCCUGUCUGUCCAGACGUCUACAGACUGUCCUCCUGGAGACAGUCCUGUCUGUCCAGAGGUCUACAGACUGUCCUCCUGGAGACAGUCCUGUCUGUCCAGAGGUAUACAGUGGUCUACAGACUGUCCUCCUGGAGACAGACCAACAGUCUUUUCUCUUUUAAACAAAACAAUUAUUUAACAGUACCAAAAUCAAAACAGACACUAAACUUUCACUAUCUUUUUAUUUGAUUUCUGUCCUCCUGGAGACAGUCCUGUCUGUCCAGACGUCUACAGACUGUCCUCCUGUAGGAUUACCCCACUCAGAAUCUCUGUUACUCUGCAGUAAAGAGGUGGAAGUGAGAAAUUCUGUGUUACUUUGUAAGCCAUUACAACAACACAUGACUAAGAAGGUGAAGAUGACGGGGCGGCAGGGUAGCCUAGUGGUUAGAGCAUUGGACUAGGAACCAGAAGGUUGCAAGUUCAAGCCCCUGAGCUGACAAGGUACAAAUCUGUUGUUCUGCCCCUGAACAGGCAGUUCCUAGGCCGUCAUUGAAAAUAAGAAUUUGUUCUUAACUGACUUGCCUAGUUAAAUAAAAGUUUAAAAAAAUAUAUAUCACAAGUUUAAUAGUCCAGAGUGGUAGUACUGUGAAUCUUAGAAGUGCUGAGCCCUGAGGGGUACAGGCAGAAGGUUUGUCCUAUUGCAGUAAUGGCUGUAGAGAAGCAUUAUGUUGCUGCAUGUGACCAGAUACUAGACCAUCAGCCCCAGAUGUCUAUAUUCAGUCCAUCAACCCCAGAUGUCUGUAUUCAGACCAUCAGCCCCAGAUGUCUACAUUCAGUCCAUCAGCCCCAGAUGUCUAUAUUCAGUCCAUCAGCCCCAGAUGUCUGUAUUCAGACCAUCAGCCCCAGAUGUCUAUAUUCAGUCCAUCAGCAUCAGAUAUCUAUAUUCAGACCAUCAGCCCCAGAUGUCUGUAUUCAGUACAGCAGAUAACACUACCUCUUCAUCUGAAGACACUAAACCAACAGUCUUUUCUCUUUUAAACAAAACAAUUAUUUAACAGUACCAAAAUCAACAGACACUAAACUUUCACUAUCUUUUUAUUUGAUUUCUGAAUGUCAUUUUCCCCUACAUGGGUUUAGCUGUAGUGGAUAUAUUUUGGGAGGUACUUGAGAAAUGUACAGCAAACAGGAAGUCCAAUGGUUUCGUUGACGAGAACCCUUUAGAGUUCAAUUUGAAAGAACCCAGUAGAGAUACUGACUCCCAAAUGGAACACUAUUUACUACAUAGUUUAGACUGGGCUCCUUAGUGCACUACUGUUGACCAGAGCCCUAUGUGGGGAACAGGGUGUCAUUUGGGACGCAGUCACUCCGAGACGAUCUGACCACUGUGUCCUACAGACUGGUAUGUGUUGGGUUACGGAGAGAUGAUCUGACCACUGUGUCCUACAGACUGGUAAGUGUUGGGUUACGGAGAGAUAAUCUGACCACUGUGUCCAACAGACUGGUAAGUGUUGGGUUACGGCGAGACGAUCUGACCACUGUGUCCAACAGACUGGUAAGUGUUGGGUUACGGAGAGAUGAUCUGACCACUGUGUCCUACAGACUGGUAAGUGUUGGGUUACGGAGAGACGAUCUGACCGCUGUGUCCUACAGACUGGUAAGUGUUUGGUUACGGAGAGACGAUCUGACCACUGUGUCCUACAGACUGGUAAGUGUUGGGUUACGGAGAGACGAUCUGACCACUGUGUCCAACAGACUGGUAAGUGUUGGGUUACGGAGAGAUGAUCUGACCACUGUGUCCUACAGACUGGUAAGUGUUGGGUUACGGAGAGACGAUCUGACCACUGUGUCCAACAGACUGGUAAGUGCUGGGUUAUGGAGAGACGAUCUGACCACUGUGUCCUACAGACUGGUAAGUGUUGGGUUACGGAGAGACGAUCUGACCACUGUGUCCAACAGACUGGUAAGUGUUGGGUUACGGAGAGAUGAUCUGACCACUGUGUCCUACAGACUGGUAAGUGUUGGGUUACGGAGAGACGAUCUGACCACUGUGUCCAACAGACUGGUAAGUGCUGGGUUAUGGAGAGACGAUCUGACCACUGUGUCCUACAGACUGGUAAGUGUUGGGUUACGGAGAGACGAUACAAUUGAUGCAUUGUGACUCUUGUACAUGUUCUACAGAUCUACAGUUAUUAACCUGUACAGUGACAGUUCAACCACUAGUCUAGAGUUGUACUACCUUCUACUAGAGUUGUACUACAUUCUACUAGAGUUGUACUACCUUCUACUAGAGUUGUACUACCUUCGACUAGAGUUGUACUACCUUCUACUAGAGUUGUACUACCUUCUACUAGAGUUGUACUACCUUCUACUAGAGUUGUACUACCUUCUACUAGAGUUGUACUACAUUCUGCAUGUCCAGAAAACUGUUGAAACAGUCGGUCAGAUUGUUUAACACAAUAAAAUAGGAAAAUCUAUAACGAUGUGGCAGUCUUCGCCAUACUGGCUACUGGACAUGUAAGGAUUGACAUUUCUAAAAGGUUGCAUCUUGGACAUUCACAGCUGGCACGCCAUUUUAGAAAUUUCCCUGACUGAGAGGCAGGUGUAAAGCCAAACGCGGUUGUCCGAACCCCCCCACACAAACUCCAACUAACACUCUGCAACACUACAAGACAUCACCCCCUCACAACACUACAACCCGACUCCGACACAGGCCCUUAGAGGGCUUUGUUGUUUAAACCUCCCCUCACCUCUUCAUAAGGUACACAUCAUCCCAUAUUAAACAUGGCUACCUCUUCAUCUCAACAGGCACCAUUUUAAGACCUCAAUAUCUCACUUUAGAUAAUCUUCAAGAAGAGUGUUGAAAACAACCACUGUAACUACAUCCCUAAUGAAACCUUAUACCCUAUAUAGUGCGCUACUUUGACCAGGGCCCUAUGGCACUGUAUUUGGUAUUUUAUUAGGAUCCCCAUUGGCUGUUGCAAAAGCAGCAGCUACUCUUCCUGGGGUUCCACACAGAACAUGAAACAUAAUAUAGAACAUUAAUAGACAAGAACAGCUCAAUGACAGAACUACAUACAUUUUUAAAAAGGCACACGUAGCCUACAUAUCAAUGGACAAACUAUCUAGGUCAAAUAGGGGAGAGGCGUUGUGCCAUGAGGUGUUGUUUUAUCUGUUUUUUGAAACCAGGUUUGCUGUUUAUUUGAGCAAUAUGAGAUGGAAGGAAAGUCCAUGCAAUAAGGCUCUAUAUAAUACUGUACGUUUUCUUGAAUUUGUUCUCGAUUUGGAGACUGUGAAAAGACCCCUGGUGGCAUGUCUGCUGGGAUAAGUGUGUGUCAGAGCUGUAUGUAAGUUGACUAUGCAAACAAUUUGGGAUUUUCAACGCUGUUUAUUGUAAAAAGAAAUAAGUGAUGCAGUCAGUUUCUCCUCAACUCUUAUCCAGGAGAGACUGGCAUGUAUAGUAUUUAUAUCAGUCCUCUGAUUACAAUGAAGAGCAAGACGUGCUGCUCUGUUCUGGACCAGCUGCAGCUUAACUAGGUCUUUCCUUGCAGCACUGGACCACACGACUGGACAAUAAUCAAGAUUAGACCAAACUAGAGCCUGCAGGAAUUGCUUUGUGGUGUCAAAAAAGCAGAGCAUCUCUUUAUUAUGGACAGACCUUUCCCCAUCUUUACAACCACUGAAUCUAUAUGUUUUGACCAUGACAGUUUACAUUCUAAGGUAACACCAAGUAUUUUAGUCUCUUCAACUUGUUCAACAGCCACACCAUUCAUUACCAGAUUCAGUUGAGGUCUAGAACUUAGGGAAUGAUAUGUACCAAAUACAAUGCUCUUAGUUGAAUAGAUGUUCAGGACCAGUUUAUUAUUGUCCACGCAUUCCAAAACAGACUGCAACUCUUUGUUAAGGGUUUCAGUGAGUUCAUUAGCUGUGGUUGCUGAUGCGUAUAUGGUUGAAUCAUCAGCAUACAUGAACACACAUGCUUUGUUUAAUGCAAGUGGCAGGUCAUUGUCUAUAAGCAUGCAAAAUGUCUGUUAAUUUGUUUACAGAAGGGCCUCACAGGGUGGCUUAGUGGUCUAAGGCACUGCAUCGCAGUGCUAGCUGUGCCACUAGAGAUUCUGGGUAAGAGACCAUGGGGCGGCGCACAAUUGGCCCAGCGUCGUCCGGGUUAGGGAGGGCUUGGUCGGCAGGGAUAUCCUGGUCUCAUCGCGCACUCCUGUGUUGGGCUGGGCGCACUGCACGCUGACCAGGUGUUUCCUCUGACACAUUGGUGUGGCUGGCUUCUGGGUUGGUUGUGCAUUGUGUCAAGAAGCAGUGCGGCUUGGUUGGGUUGUGUUUCGGAGGAAGCAUGGCUCUUGACCUUCACCUCUCCCAAGGUUGUACGGGAGUUGCAGUGAUGAGACAAGACUGUAACUACUACCAAUUGGAUACCAUGAAAUUGGGGGGUAAAAAAAGAAAAUUUACAGAGAAAUAGCAUUGUAUUUGGUCAAACACAAUUUUUUCCAACAGUUUGCUAAGAGCUGGCAGCAAGCUUAUAGGUCUGCUGUUAGAACCAGUAAAGGCUGCUUUACCACUCUUAGGUAGCGGAAUUACUUUGGCUUCCCUUCAGGCCUGAGGACAAAGACUUUCCUCUAGACUCAGAUUAAAGAUAUGACAGAUAGGAGUGGCUAUAGAGUCAGCCACCAUCCUUAGUAGCUUUCGAUCUAAGUUGUCAAUGCCAGGAGGUUUUUCAUUAUUUAUUUUUUUAUGCAUUAAUAUAAUUGCUCACUGUUUGUCGUGGGCAUUUCCUGCCUAAGUUUGCCCAUUUUGCAAAUGAAAUAAUCAUUAAAAUAAUUGGCAACAAAUGGUUUUGUGAUGAAUAAGUCAUCUGAUUUGAUGAAAGAUGGAGUUUAAUUUAGGGUUGAAUUUGUCUUUCUGUCCAUUAUUUCAUUUAAAAUACAAACGUUUUUUUCUCCAAAAUUCUUUAUAUAAUUGAUCUUGGCUUCUUCUUCUUUUUGUUGAGUUUAGUCACAUAAUUUCUCAAUUUGCAGUAAGUCAGCCAGUCAGAUGUGCAGCCAGACUUAUUAGCCACUCCUUUUGCCUCCAUCUCUUUCAACCAAUACAGUUUUUCAAUUCCUCAUCAAUCCAUGGAGCCUUUACAGUUCUAACAGUCAGUUUCUUAACAGGUUCAUGUUUAUCAAUAAUUGGAAGAGGCAAUUUCAUACAUUCAUCAAGUGCAGUGUCUGGAUGCUGCGUAUUAAUCACAUCAGACCAACAAAUAUGUUUAAUAUCAUCCACAUAAGCAAAAUCUUUUGUAUGAUCUCUUAUACACUAUUUUAGGACCAGCUGAUGGAACUUUGGCUUUCCUGCAUAUAGCCACUAUAUUGUGCUCACUGCAUCCAAUGGGUAUGGAUAUAGGUUUAGAAUAAAGUUCUACAGCAUUAGUAAAUAUGUGAUCGAUAUAUGUGGAUGAUCUUGUUCCUUUAGUGUUUGUAAACACCCUGAUAGGUUGAUUAAUAACCUGAACCAGAUUACAGGCACUGGUCACAGUGAGAAGCUUCCUCUUGAGCAGACAGCUUGAUUUAAACCAGUCAAUAUUCAGGUCCCCAAGAAAGUAGACCUCUCUGUUUACAUCACAUACACUAUCAAGCAUUUCACACAUAUUAUUUAGAUACUGACCGUUAGCACUUGGUGGCCUAUAGCAACACCCCAAAAGAAAAGGCUUUAGAUGUGCCAGGUGAACCUGCCACCACAACACUUCAAUAACACUUAAGAUCUUCUCUAAGCAUUAUACGGCUCUGAAUAUAUACAGCAACACCUCCCCCAUAAGCAUUACAGGGAUAUGACUGAAUAUAUACAGCAACACCUCCCCCAUAAACAUUACAGGGAUAUGACUGAAUAUAUACAGCAACACCUCCCCCAUAAACAUGCCUGUCUCUUCUGUAAAUGUUAUAUCCUUGUAUUGCUACUGCAGUAUCAUCAAAUUAAUUAUUUAAGUGAGUCUCAAAUGGCUAAUAUAUGAAUGUUAUCAAGUUAUUGACUUUAUUUCUAAAGCUGCAUAUAUUAAUAUGAGCUAUUUUCGACCCUUUCCUGGGUAGCUUAUCAGAGACAGACAUAAUACUGAAAAGAGCGAACAAAGCAAGAGAAAGACAUAUACAUUCAGCAGUCCAUUAAUCAGUUGGUGUGUGUGUGUGCUGCGGGGUUGAAGCUACGAGCCCAUAGGCUCGGCUCUCUCAUCCCUUCCAGGCUUCUGGGAGGAAGGGUGGACAAUGAGGCUGUCAUAGUGGAUGUAUGCAAUGUCCUCACGCACUCUGGCAGUUUCAUGGCUGGGAUCAGUUCUUUCCUCUUCUGGCGCACAGUUUCAAGAUAGUCCUUGUUGAGGAAGAUGCACAUUCCUCUCAAGUUCUUGACUCUUUCCAAAACAGCUACCUUGUCCUUGAACCUCAGGAACUUGACCACUAUCGGUCUGGGCCUGUCACCUGCAAUCUUCCUGUGGUCCAUCUUCAAUUUCUCAGAUCAUUUCCCUCACUUUGCUCUCAGACUCCGUCCAGGUCUCAUGUUGAGAUUCUGCAAUUCGGUCCACAACCAUGUUCUGCCUUGUUAUCCCUCGAGAUAAGAAUGAUGUAAAAAUCUGAUUAUCAUGGAUUCACAUACAGAACUGCUGUCAUCUUGCCCGUUCUCCUGUUUCAACUCGUCGAGCUGACCCUGGGAGAACUGCAAACUGUUCUUCAGGUCUUGGACCUCUCUGGUCAGGUCGUCCAUUCUUUUAUUAGUAGGAUCCACAAGUAUUUGGACAAAACACUUGAAGCUAUUUUCUUGUUGUAACGACUGCUUGUAGGUAUUUUUUGUAGGUAUUUUUUGUGUGAUAGAGAGACACCACUGUCCUCAACAGUACUCCUGCCAGCUUUGGUCUUUGUCAUGGUAGCUAGCAACGUAGGUUAUGCUGUUACUCCUCUCAGUUCCAGACAGGGCAGGUCACAGGGAAGAUUGAAAACAACAAACAGCAGGGAUCGAGACAGCCACAAACCCGGGUCAAUGAGCGGUCCCAGCCACAAUGGCUAACCGCGUCGCGGACUGCGUUCAAGAACACCCCGCUAACUUGAUAUGCAGCUAGGCUAGCAGCUAGGCUAGCUGAGACGCCAAAUAGCUCCUCAGACCCAUCCUUGGUCGGCAGGAUCACUGGAAAGAGACAAGCAGUCCCAGCAACUAUUCCCUAUGUAUAGUGCACUAUUUUAGACCGCACCUCUAUGGCACCCUAUUCUCUAUAUAUAGUGCACUACUUUAGACCGUGGCCCUAUGGGCCCUGUAUAUGGAAUAAAAGGCUGCAGAAAUAAUUAUAAUGUAAAAAAAAACACAAAACCAGAUGAGAGAGAUGUGAAAAUGAAGGAAGCAGAGAUGGAGGAAGGGAAAGCAGAAAGUCAAAUCAGAUAUGAACAGUAAGAAAUGGGCGGAGGGGAUGUCCUUAGCCCCUGGGAUGUCCUUAGCCCCUGGCGGAGGGGAUGCCCUUAGCCCCUGGCGGAGGGGAUGCCCUUAGCCCCUGGCGGAGGGGAUGCCCUUAGCCCCUGGCGGAGGGGAUGCCCUUAGCCCCUGGCGGAGGGGAUGUCCUUAGCCCCUGGCGGAGGGGAUGUCCUUAGCCCCUGGCGGAGGGGAUGCCCUUAGCCCCUGGCGGAGGGGAUGUCCUUAGCCCCUGGCGGAGGGGAUGCCCUUAGCCCCUGGCGGAGGGGAUGUCCUUAGCCCCUGGCGGAGGGGAUGUCCUUAGCCCCUGGCGGAGGGGAUGCCCUUAGCCCCUGGCGGAGGGGAUGUCCUUAGCCCCUGGCGGAGGGGAUGGGAUGUCCUUAGCCCCUGGCGGAGGGGAUGCCCUUAGCCCGAUGUCCUUAGCCCCUGGCGGAGGGGAUGCCCUUAGCCCGAUGUCCUUGGCCCCUGGAGG